CACGUAGGGGGCAAGCGUUGUCCGGAAUUACUGGGCGUAAAGAGCACGUAGGCGGCUUACCAAGUCAGGUGUGAAAACCUUAGGCUUAACUUGAGGCUUGCACUUGAUACUGGUUCGCUAGAGUCUAGUAGAGGAGAGUGGAAUUCCUGGUGUAGCGGUGAAAUGCGCAGAUAUCAGGAAGAACACCGGUGGCGAAGGCGGCUCUCUGGGCUAUGACUGACGCUGAGGUGCGAAAGCUAGGGGAG
rnacentral:rRNA from 1 species